CGUGGUGACAAGGGAGGGCACUAGGACGCCAAGUCACUAGCGUCGGUGGCCAGGAGAUCCGGCGCCCUCCUCCGUGAGGCCGCCCCGCUCCAGCAGCUCCUCCCGGCCGUCUACAAGCCUCCCCCGCCGCCCUAAGCAUGGAGUUUAUAUGUUGGAAAACAUCCAAUCUUGCCCUAACAACAACAACAGAAGGAAGUCACCUAAGCCGGAGAAGGAGGAGGCCCAGAAAAGUCUAUGGAGAUCUCUCGGAGCAGUACACCUGUAACUCCGGCAUCCUCCCUCAGCGCUAUCAUCGAGAUGAAAAUCGAGGACACGUCGAUGCAACUUCCGGAGUAUCUUGUUGAUGCAAGCCUCUCCUCUCUCCCCUCGACUGGAUGCGGGCCGCCGGUCGCGUGCGUCGCCGUGCGAAGAGCAGGUGGGAGCAUGUUAUCUAUGUGAGGUCUCCUCUCACUCUCUCAGAUACACAUGGAGGUACCAGGAAAAGCUUUUGAUAUGCGCAUGAACCUCAUUUUUAUCCGCGCUCCCUUCUAAGGAGUCCCCAGUUCAGAACAAAAUGAAGGAAUGAAAAAGCAUGGCCGCUGACUUUCGUAACGCUCAGAGAGUUGUGGUUGGUAACAUCGCAGGAAAGAGAUAAGGAGAUUGUGGUAGCUGCAGCUGAAGAGGAGUAAAGGGAUAUUCAAAAACUUGAGUAAGCCAUAUAUUUGAAGGUCUCAGCGAAUGAUGAGUCCACCAUGAGAGAGAGAGGUUUCAUGUUUUGGAACUUAUGAAGCUGGAAUAAUUAUGCUUGUACCUGUGCUUCUACCACGACCAUUUGCCUGCCUACUUUCUGUUCUUAUUUUUUGUUCAACUGAAUCCUGUUGAGUAACAUGGUACCCUUCUACAGACACAUAUAUCUUACUUGAUUGGAUUGCAGUGAAAGAAUUAUUGUGUAGUUCUUAGAGAAUUAAUGUAUUACUUAAAUUCACUGGGUGCAUUUUAGUAAAUUGUGCAUAUCUUGAUCGUUGUUGUUGCAAUUUGC